GACGAACCGUGCGAACGUUGUUCGGAAUCACUGGGCUUAAAGGGCGCGUAGGCGGCUUGCCAAGUCAGGGGUGAAAUCCUGCAGCUUAACUGUAGAAGGGCCUUUGAUACUGGCGAGCUCGAGGGAGGUAGGGGUAUGUGGAACUUCCGGUGGAGCGGUGAAAUGCGUUGAUAUCGGAAGGAACGCCGGUGGCGAAAGCGACGUACUGGACCUCUUCUGACGCUGAGGCGCGAAAGCCAGGGGAGCGAACGGG
rnacentral:rRNA from 1 species